UCCUUUUUAUACACAAAACAUGAAUUUUUUUAACCCAUUUCCAUGAAGACACACACAAAGAACACACACACACAUAACCAUCGCAUCCACAAACGCCACCACAACAUCUCCAUUGUUCUUUUGACGCCCGGUGCUGAUUUGAAUCCCGUACUGUAGUUGUACUUCUUCAUCCAGGAGAUAUAAGGAGCAAGCAUGGAAUGAUUUAGUGGGAUGAACCUAGGAGACGCCUACAACUAUAGACCUUCUCGAACACUUUCUAUUGACCUUCAGGAACAAUUUCUAUUGACCUUUAGCCAUUUUUUUCAUUCCAACAAGUGAGCAAACUGGACAACAACAUAUAAUGCUCCUUUUUUUAGAGCUGAACUGAAGAAUCUGGCGAAGCCGGCCUGCAACAAUGGCCAAUUUUUUUAGAGGAUAAACGCAAACAAAUGUGUAUAAAACCAGAGCAAUCUAAUGUCAAUAUUUUUUUUAUAUGUUCAAUAAAACCAGAGCAAUCCAAUGUCAUAAACAUCCAUAGUCCAAAGAACAAAAUGACCACAGUAUAUAUAUACAAAGAAAUAUUUUUUCUACCACACACGCACCUUUGUUCUCAUACAUCUCCCAAAAAAAUCAGAGCCAUCACCAUCGAAAGCUAGUCAUGCAAUAGGAAAAAGAUGAGCACUUCUUGCAAAAGCGAAUGACUAAAAGUUGGUAAACAACUAGGACUAUUUAAGUGAAGCGCUUGUAGUAUUAACCCGUAGCUCCUUCAUGUUGACCAAUUCCACCAGAAAACGCCAUGUAUGGAUUUGAACACUACAAACCACUAUACUAAUCUCUCCUUGCGUUGACUACAAUUGACUCGGCUUGCGUCGGGUUGUUGUGCCAGCGUCGACAGCUCACCACCUUGGAUCCUUGCCGUUGGCAGUCUGGUGGCCGAUGCAGCCAAACACCGCCAGACAAUGCCAAGAGUUCGGUUAGUUUUCUGAACUUUUCUCAACAGAACAAGCCAAGAGCAGGCCAGGCGACCUACGACCGCUCGCUGCUGUCACAGCGGGGUAUGAACUACAGAUCUUCUGGAAGUUAUCUAAUCCUGUACUGUAGAUUCAAGCAUUUUAAACUCAAAAGAUGCCUACAAUUCUCAGUUUGUGCCUAACCUAGGAGUCGAGGAGAGCACCACACAGGACUAGAUAGAGGAGUGCAAGUGAAGCAACCUUUUUCUUCAGAAAAUUAACAAACUGAACUUCAAUAAGAACAGAGUUGUGUUGAUAGAGAUGCACCUGCUGCUACCUGUAGCAACAAGAGAUAGAGGGGAAAUCAGCAAGGGCGUGCGACUGAAGCGGUGAACUUCUGAGAGUUCCGUGGUUGAACGGCCGGAGGUGGCGGUUACGAAUGGUUUGAGCGCCGCGGCGGUGGGUCCCCACAGGGAGGAGGCUCCGUGAGGGGGGCAGCGGGGUUGCUCAUCUUCAGUCGGGGAUCCCGGCGGCGGCCGGCGGGAUCAGAGCUUGCGGCGGCGGCGAGGAUCCACGGCCGGCGAUGGCGCCGGGAUCCACGGACGGCGAUGGCGCCGGAUGUCGGAACCGUCCUGGGGAACGAUGGCUACUCGUUGAGACGACGAGGAGUGGCCAGGGCGGCGUCACGCGAUGGGGCGGGAGGAGAAGAGGGUGGCCGCGGUAGUGGCGCCAUGGGAGGGCCGGCGGCGGGCGCUGGACACGGGCAAGGAGUGGAAGGAGUAGAAGCCAGGCGUGCGGCGGCGGAGGUCGCCGACGAUGGGAUCCAGGGUGGUUGGGGAUCGGGGAAGGUGGGAGGACGAGCAGGACGUGGUCGUGGGGUGUCGUGGGUGGGCUCUUUU
rnacentral:lncRNA from 1 species